UGUAGGUCAUUUUACCUUUCAGGCUGCUUUGCCUUGGCUAAAAUAAAUAUUCAGCUAUAAAUGGCAUUUUGGUUCAAGUUGUAUUAUUACAGGAAAAGUUGCAUUUUUAAAAUUGUUCAGUGAAUUUAUUUAAUCUGUCAUUCUAACAUAUUGCUGUUUUCUUAAGUAGAAAGCAGAGUUCCUAUGGUGAGAGCAGAGGUGCCAUAAUAUUUAUAGUAUGUUAGACUCAUUUAUAAACUAUUAUACUAGCUAGAAUUUGCAGAAUAUUUAAUCUUGUAGGUUACAAUUUUUUUCCUCUGGCUUUUAAUAUAUUCAUUUAGCCAUUUUGAUUUUCUUUAUUCUUUGAAGAAAAACUCAGAGAAUGCUAUUUUUUUUCUAGAAGAUUAGUAAUAACUACUGUUAUAGGAUUCUUUUUUUUUUUUUUUUUUUUUUUUCCGAACUGAAGAAUGCGUGUGCCUUACUGUCUUAUCUGGAGGUAAUUUUGUGAAAAACCAAUUAACACAUCAAGUUUUUAAUGGAACAUAAAACUUAAAACUGCUCAAAACUGAGAGAGGCAAAGAUUGGUGACACAGCAUUAGUUUCUCCUGGAAGAGUUAAUAUAUCCAGGCAAACUUUAGUAAACACAUUGGUGUUGAGAUUUCUGUACUGUGUAAGAGGAGGUGAGGGAGAAGAGGGAUGAUUAGUAGAAGAUGAUGGUUUCUUGAACUGGGGACAGUCACUUUUUAUAAAUCAGUUAUCAUGGUCUGGAGUUUCGAAGCUGGAAAGGAGGAGUGAAGAUUAUGGGCUCUGGAUACCCCACAGGUUGGGUGGUGAGGAUAGGCUCCUUUGGUAGACAUUAUCGAGAGCUCCAUUUGAGGAAAGGAAUUUCAGAAUAGCUUCUAGAAUUUGAGAGAAUCGCAGCUGUCUUUUCCCGUGGCUUCAUUUGUUAGAAAUUGUCAUAAAGAAGCCCAGUUUCUGUUGUUGACAGUAUGGAGUCUUGGUGUUUUGCACAUCCUCCAUUCUGGGAAAUAAGUCCCAAACCAGCCCUACUCCAUAAUAUCCCAGCAUAUUCCAGUGAGCAGUAUACUACUUGUCAGGAGAACUGGGUUUUGCCUGUGACACUUACAACUUUGUAUCCUGGCCUAGGGCCUGCAUUGUGUCACCUGUACAGUAGGGGAGGCACUAACCAGCCCAGAAUGGAUUUAAGCUGAUUCUUUCUGACCAGAUCUUGAGGUUUGGAGCCUGGCCUGGUGCAGCCUGGAGCUCAUUUCCAUCCGCAGGGACCUUUGAGAAGGGAGGGGCAGAGGCCUGAUGGAGCCCAGUCUUUUCUGUUCCAGGCUUCCCUGUCAUCUUCCAUAUUAUCAGGCUAGGGCAUCUUGCCCUAGAGCCUCCUGAGGAUUCACUGUCCGCUUGUUUAUCUUUCCGUGAGGAUCUUAGCAGAUCUUGAGUCAUAUUUGAGUUUUUAAUGAUGACAUUAGCAGACAAAAAUGCAGUGUUAGUACAGUUUUUUAAGUUCUUAUGCUUCAGUGUUCAGUAGAUCCCCGGUUAUUAUCUGUCGUUCAUUUACUCAACAAACACUGAAGGAUAAACAUUUGAUUAAGACACAGACCUUGUCUUCAAGAAGGGUGUUAGAGGGAAGGAGGAGCAUAGAUGAGACCCGGGGAGUUUUGGGGUUGGUGUUCCCCUUUGGGAGUCCUCUGCCUCUUGGCUCUCUGGCUUCUUGCAAGGAAGAAGGAAGGCUGUGACUAGUGCAGAUCAAAUUUGCAGGAAGGUGCUGAGACUCAAGUCAGCUUUUAGGGAAGUAGAAAUAUACCAGGACCUCCACAUCUGUUACUCUGCUUCCGUGACACCCAGGAAACUUGAAGCUUGAUGUACAUGCUCGUGGCAGCAUGGUGGUAGACUGUUUCCUCAUGAAGCUGUUGGGUGAGGGUGGAGGAAACUCACAUCAGUGAUAAUGGUGCAGUGGGAAUCGUGGGUUAGGGCUCAAAGGAGUGGGCUAGAGAGGUGGGAGGGAAGGCUUUUUGUUUUUAUGGUAAUGUAGCUGUUAACCUUACAGAGAGUCCUAAAAUUAAGAUUUUUUUAGCUAUAUACAUGUGAUUUACUUUGAGGCUAACUAGGGAGAAUAGGGCAUUUAUGAGAUUAAUUUCUUUGGGCAGCUAGAAUGUGUCUCCUAGGUGCAAAGACCCCAAACAUGCAGGGAUUUGGAUCUUGAUUAUGUCCUUACUUAACUCCACAAGUAGUGUGAAGUUUAAUAACAGUAUCAUAUUAGUAUUUUAAACUUAUAUUAAAUAAUAUGGUAGUAUAUUACAGUAGUUUGUUUUCAACUAUCUAGUUGAUAGUGCAAGAACUGUAAAGCCUCUCUUUUCUUCAGAACUGAAAAUGAAACUAAUUUUUGUGAAGCUCCAGAUUAAAAAUAAUCUGAGUUGAUUUUAAGAACUGUGCAUGAAAAGAAAAUUAAGUUUUUUAUGCAAAAUCGUUAGGAUCUUUAGGCUCCAUGGAACACAGAUUUGCAUGGCGCUGUUACCUGGGUUUUUACUGAUUGUAAAAGAUACUGAGUACUUAACAUGGGGGUUUUUGGAAGCAAGGUGACAUCCUGCUCAUUGCAGUUAGGCUAAUGAUAGCAUAAAUAGUAAGGUACCGGUCACUAUUUCAAGUGCAAAGAAACAUCUGUUCAUAAAGUACUAAAAAUGGUUCUUAUAUGAAGGUGCUGCAUUUGGUUUGGGCUUGGUUUUUGUUUGGUUUUAUCUUAAUUAAUUAUUUUGCUUCCUGCCAUUAAGGAUAUGUGUUGAUCAUGUUAAUAAUACCCUGGGAAAAGAAAUGAGCAAGUAUUUGAUUGACAGAUAAAUAUGGAUGCACAGGUAUAUUGUAGAUGCUUUCACAUCUGUGUUUCCAUGUAUAUCUGAAUAGAUAGAUUUUUAAUCUCACAUAUGCACCAAAUUAGUUGAGCACGUUUUUUGAGUCCUUACAUGUGCCAACCACUGUCCUCAGUGAUUUGCGGAACCAGGAUGAGUAAGGCAGAUCCUAUCCUAAGGUGUUGACACACUAAUAGGGGAGAGAAGAUUGCAAAAUAAGCUUUAUGCACAUUUAAAUAGAAGAUUGUAUCAUUGGAGAGUUAUAAGUAAAGCCUUAAAGAGUCCUCAGGAAGGCGAGUACUCCUAGUCUAGGGAAUCAGAAAAAGCUUAAUGAAGGAGAUGGCAUUUUGAGCUGAAAGUAGACUUGAAUUGUUGUAGAUAGAGGGUCCUGCACAGGUGAAGGCUCCUGGAGAGGAAAUCAUGGGCUGUACCUGGGGAGCAGUGAGUAGUUAAGACUGGUGAAGUGUAGAGAGAGUUAGGGAUAUAUGGAUCUGGGUCACGCGGGAUGGUGUGGAGGAGGUGGACAAGGGCCAGGUCGUGGAGUAUUGACUUUAUUCUUUGUUUUGGGUUUUUGACCUGGAAGGUGCCCUGAUUAGAGUUUUGCUGCAGGAAUAUGGUGACUGUGUGGUUGGAGUCUAGAGGCUGGGACAUGGAUGGGCAUGGGGGCAGAGAGCUGUGGUCUUAGAUAUUACUUAGGAGACUUUUGCCAUAAUUUAGACAGGAAGUAAUGAGGAGGGCAUAAAGUAAAAAGGUGAUGUGUAAAAGAAGUAUUUUGGGAUAAACUGGAUGGGUAUUCGGACCUGAUUAGAUUAGGUUAUUUAUUUAUUCAAUAAAUAUUUACCAAUAAUCUUCUUCUGCCCCACACUAAGGUGAGCUUAGUGUUCCCUGGCUGGGUGAGAUUGAGAAGCUGGAGGUAUUAAAUAUAGCUUUAGGUUUCAGCCCUGGGAGACCAGGAAAGUGGUGAUGCAGAAAUCUGAGAACACCCUCCUUUUUACGUGGGUCUUGAGGGGAGUGUAAAUUUAUCUGGUCUCCUGCUUUCAGAUAAACCAUUGCAGACAGAUGAGAAUCUCAUCUCGCAUUAUAAACUACCACCAGAGAAAAGGAUUAGCAGUGAGCUGUUAGUGGCCUUCAUUUUUUAGAGUGUUUAGGGUAGAGCAGACAGCUUUAAAAACCAUCUAUCUAGCUAGUCCUCUUUAAAAUACUCCGUCAUGAUCAGUGUGUGUUUAACCGUGGGGCCCCAACCAGCUGCCUUCUCUGCUAUGGUCUGCAAGCCUGACAUUCUGACUUCCUAUCAGUUUUUUGGAACGAACUUUCCUGUCUCCCCUUUUCAGGGAAAAAUUAAAGAAGCCUUUAAAAAUGGUAGGAUCAUAAUUAUUUAGAGUCAAGAUAGUCAGGUAAUUAAUUUUACCACUCUUUGUGCAGAGUUCUAAAGUUUACUUGUUUUAGGUAAGAGAAAAUGUGGCUGCUUUGUACAAGAAGGCCCCAAUUCAGUUUUGGAGCCUUGACCAAGAGAUUUGUGAAGGUCAGAAGGAAGCCCAUUGGUGAAGGCAUAUGAUAAAAGAAAAAGGAGGAGGAUACAAGGAGAAUUUACCCUAAAUGGAAGAAGAUCUGCAGGUCUCAGUGGGGGGGCUUCAGAAUAGAGAAACACAGUAGGAAGCAAAAAUGUGAAGGUGUUGAACCUCCGUUUCUUACUGUAAGGUAGUGCAGCUCAACGUGAUACCCACAGACAGGGAUUUGCCUGUGAAUCGUUUAUAGCUGACCUGUGAUGAACUAUAUACAGAGGAGAAUAAGGGUGUAGAAACUUUAACAAUUUGACAGGCCAACUUUAUUCAAUCUAAUAAAAAAUUGGGACUUUUAUUUUGUGUAUCUUUUUUUUUCCUUUUUUAAAAUUUCAUUUAGUAGUUACUAUUAUUCUUUUGCAUUUUAUAAAAGUAUUGGUCCCAGAUAGGUUGGGGGAGGAAGGGCACCUUCACUGCGGGGAGUUUGAGAAGGCAUGUUGUAGGUUGUGGAGAUGGUAGUUGGGGAGGUUUUACUCCAAGUGCUUGGUUUGGGCAGUGGGAACGAUGCGUGCAUAGGCCAGGAGCAGGUGGGAUCUCAUCUUAGCGCCUGAAGAAAAGGGGCAUGACUGAGACAGAGUCUUGUGACUCUGGGGAGUUACGGGUUGGAGGAUGGUGUUUGGACACAGGGUGCCCACACUCGAGUGAGGCCCAGUCCCAGUGUUUAGUAGGAAUGUGCAUAUCGCCCUGCUGGGGACUUUGAGGCUGGUCAGGGGUUUCCUGCAGCCUGAGUAGGGGCUGUGGGACCAUCACCAGUAGCGUCGUCUUUGGCUCACAGGACACGAAUAGGGUUAUGUCAUCUUCUGUGCUCUGAGCUUGCUUUUCAUACUUUAUUGGUCUCUGUUCUUUCCCACCUCGACUCUGCCUAGACAGACGUAUUGCACAAACCUUAAUGUUGAUUUUUCCCUGUUUACUGAACCUUUCUUUAAAAUUCUUCUAACAUGUGGGCAUCUGGGUGGUUCAGUCAGUUAAGCAUCGGACUUCAGCUCAGGUCGUGAUCUCAUAGUUCGUGGGUUCGAGCCCUGUGUCAGGCUCUGUGCUGACAGCUCAGAGCCUGGAGCUGCUUCAGAUUCUGUCUCCUUCUCUCUGCCCCUCCCCCAUUCACACUCUGCUCUCUUUCAGUAAAAUAAACAUUAAAAAAAAAAUUAAAAUUCUUCUAACAUGAAGAGUGAUUCCUUCUGUUGAUAUUUUUCCUGGACCCCUUGUAUUCAAAGCCAUGCACCUUUCCAUAGGCCUUUUCUUAACAGUGUAACUUAUCUGACAGUGGCUGUUUUUCCUUUCCUGUGAAAGGUGGUGUCAUGAUGAAUGCCCUACACAUAUUAACACCAGCAAAGCAAAUUCUGGGAUCCUGGGAUGGCAAUUUUAUAAUUUUUUCUAUCUUUUCCGCUUUGCUGGAAGCGACAGGAUAUUAAACCACCAAACUGGCGUGGUCCUCGGCUGCCUGCCAAUGGAAUAUUUGGGGAAAGAAUGGACCAGCUUUUGUUUCUCUUGCCUUCUGUGUAGCCUUGGGGUGGAUUCUGAGGGGAUGUUCCCCCCCGCCCCCCCACAGAACUAACCCAUUUGGUAUUGAGAAAGCAGGAAAGCGAGUUUUCCUGUUACGAGCAGUGAACAAAAAGCAAGCAGCGGAUGGAGAUAUCCUGUUGGAGAAGGCUUGGGGGAGAGAAUGCAGACAAAUGCACCUCAUUCUUUCUGCGUCUUUAAGGAAUCUGAGGGGAUGGGAAGGAAAUCAGUCACUGCGGCCAAGUCAAAUGCUUUUCUUUUUAUUUAUGGUGCUUAAUAAGAUGGUUAUAAGUUUAUGCUUUGUGAUUUAAAAACUUGUCAGACACAGAGAUCUAUAGCACAUGACAGAUUAGAAAAAUGAAACAAUUAUUCUGUUUCUCAUGAGGUCAUUCUAAGUUUGCCUGCAAGGGGUCAAUGAACUGAAACUCUAUCCAAGUUAUAUUUAUUUUUAGGUUUAAAAAUCACAUAAAAAAGGCAAAUUCUUAGGGCAAGUGGGUGGCUCAGUCGAUUGAGUGUCCAACUCUUGAUGUUGGUUUAAGUCAUAAACCUAGGGUUGUGGGAUCGAGCCCUGUGUUGGGCUCUAUGUUGAACGUUGAGCAUGCUUAGGAUACUCUCUCUCUCUCUCUCUCUUUCUUUCUCUGUCUCCCCCCCACCCCUGCCUCUUUCCCUCACUCACGUGCUCUUUCCCUCUCUCUCUCUCUGUCUCUCUCAAAACAAAAACAAAAAAACUCCAAUUCUUCCAAAUUAGAUUUAUAGGAUGGUUUGUUAUAACCUCCUAGGGAAUCACUUGUUGGUUCUUUUUAAAAAGAACUAACUUUUGCUUCUCUUAUUACAGGAACAGUUCAUGUUUAUUAUAGGAAAAUUAGAAAACACCUAUGGGCAACUGAAUGGUACAGGAAUGGGCUGGAAAGACUUAGACGUGGAAAAUUAGAGCAGUGUGGCGAAGGAGAGAAAACCAGGGUUUUCUGGCAGCUGUGGGAGUGGAGACAGGGUCAGGGAAGAUCCUCCUGAAAACUCUCCAUGGAAGCUGUCUUGCCUGCAUGCCACAUGUUCACUGGUGACUUUUUACCUUUGAGGUUGGCCUUCCAUUCUGCCAUGGGUUUUAGACCUGAUGAUUUCCAAGUUUGUUUGGAGCUAGAAAACUGUGUAGUGGUCAGUUGAGAAGCUGGUCAACUCAGGGUAUUUCAUAUCUUGUCAGUCAAGGAGAAGGAGUGCUGGGCAAGAAGGAAGUCUGAAGAUAGAUUUAUAUUAGUGAGUGGUGUGUGUGUGUGUGUGUGUGUGUUUGCGUGUGUGUGUGUGUGUUUGCGUGUGUGAGGGAGGGAGAGAGGAUAUCUUUGAGAGACUUGGUUGUAAGAGAGAUAAAGAAAAUAUAAAAGAGAAGAUACAGGAGAAUACAACAAUUUUUUGAGGGGGAAGAGGAAAUGUACAUUGGCUUCUGCCCUUUUGCAUUAUCUUCUUGACCUUCCCAUUCCCUCCAUGUUUUGCCAUAUUGACAAAUGCUUAGGUGUUUUGUGGGAUGACACUUCUCCCUUUAUCUCAGUAAACAUUUAUAGAGCAGCUAUCAGUAAGUCAUACUUUCAGUCCAUUUUAGUUUAUAAAGAUAGUGUGAGAAAUCCUUAUAAGGCAUAGGAUUAAAUUGUCUUGAGAAAUCCUUAUAAGGCAUGGGAUUAAAUUGUUUUGAGAAAUCUUUAUAAGGCAUGGGAUUAAAUUGUCUUGGGCUGGGGUGCCUGGGUGGCUCAGUCAGUUAAGCAGCCGACUUGAUUUCUGCUCAGGUCAUGGUCUCAUGGUCUCAUGGUUCAUGGGAUUGAGCUGCAUGUAGGGCUCUGUGCUGACAGGGUGGAGUCUGCUUGGUGUUCUCUCUCUGUCUCAUAAUAAAUAAACAUUUAAACAGAUAAGUUGUCUUGGGCUUUUUUUUUUUAAUCUGUCUACUAGCUAUUUUAUUAUAGGUAAGGCAGGAUUAACAUGUAAAAUGGAAGGUGUAGAAGCUUGGACUAGACAACACGUUGCUUUUGGUAGAUUCUGUAAUAAAUAGUCAUUGACUACUGUUACAUAGCAGCCACUGGGCUAGAAGCUGGGAAAGAAUUAUAAAUUGGACAGAUAUGGUGCUUGAUCUCACAGACCUUCCUUGAUCAGGAGAUUAACAGGUAAUCCGUUCCAACAUAGUGGGAUAGGAAUUCUGAAAAGAAACAUGUGGGAUGUUCUGUGAUGACAUAGGAAAGAUGCCUGUUCUGGACUAGAAGGAGUGACAUCUAGGCUGAGACCUGAAUGAUAAGAAGAAAGGGGCCAGAUAAAGGGAGAUAUUUUAUUCUAACCUUAGGGAACAGUGUGUGCAAAGGCCUGGAGGCAAGAAAAAGCAUGGAAUCAUCCAGGAGCUAAAAGCUGGUCAAUAUGACCAAAGCCUAUAGUCCCAGAUGAGGGUGAUAAGAGAGAGCUCUGAAGAGGUAAGUUGGAGCCCAACACAAAGGGCCGUCUAGGGCAUGUGUGAACUUAGGAAUUCAACAAAGAUUCAGGACAUAAGAUUAAUAUAGAAAAAUCAAUUGUGUUUGUCUACACUAGCAGUGAAUAAACCAAAAAUUAAAUUAAGAAAGCAAUUCCAUUUUACAAUAGCAUGAAAAAGAAUAAAAUACUUGGAACUGAAUUUAACAAAAAAAUUGCAAGAUUUGUCUACCAAAAAAAUUGUUAAAAGAAAGAAUACUAAAUAAAUGGAAGGACAUCCAGUGUUCAUAGAUUGGAAGACUUAUAUUGUUAAGAUGUCCAGUUCACAAAUCUAUCUACAGAUUUAAAACAAUUUCUGUUAAAAUUCUAGCAUCCUUUUUUGUGGGUAUUGAUAAGCUGAUCCUAAAAUUCAUAUGGAAAUGCAAGGAACCCAGAAUAGUGAAAAUAAUUUUGAAAAAAGAACAAAGUUGGAAGACUUACACUUGCUGCUUUUAAAACUUACUAUAAAGCUACAGUAAUCAAAAUAGAGUGAUUCUGGCAUAGGAUAGACAUAUAUUUCAAUGGACUAGAAUUGAGAGUCCAGAAAUAAAUUGAUACAUUUAUAGUACAUUGAUUUUCGACAAGAGUGCCAAGACCAUUCAACGGAGAUAGAGCAGUGUUUUCAACAUACAGUGCUGGGACAACUGCAUAUCUGUUGCAAAAGAAUGAAGUUGGGUCCUAAUGUCAUGCCAUAUGUAAAAACUAACUUAUGAUUGAUCAUAGACUUAAAUGUAAGAUCUAAAACUAUAAAACUCUUUGAAAAAGAACAUAGGUUAUAAAUCUUCAUGACUUUGGAUUAGGCAUUAAUUUCUUAGGUAUGACACUAAAAGCACAAGCAACAAAAGAAAAAAAAUAGAUAAAUUGAACAUUAUGAAAAUGAAAACUUUUGUGUUUUAAAGGACACAAUGAAGAAAGAGAAAAGGUAAUACACCAAUAAGAGAAAAGAUAUGUAAGUUGUUUAUCUGAUAAGGGACUUACAUCUAGAUGUAUAAAGAACUCUUAAGCUUAAUUAAAAUAGAACUUAAAAAAUGAACAAAGAAUCUACACAAACAUUUCUUUAAAGGAAAUAUACAAAUGGCUCUGCUCAACUGUAGAAAUCUGUUCGGGGAAAUGUAACUCAUAACCAUGGUGAGGGGCACUUGGGUGGCUCAGUCAGUUGGGCUUCUGACUUUGGCUCAGAUCAUGAUCUCGCUGUUCAUGAGUCUGAGCCCUCCAUCGGGCUCUCUGCUAGUCAGUACAGAGCCCACUUCAGAUCCUGUGUCACCCCUCUCUCUGCCCCUUCCCUGUUGUGUUCUCUUUCUAUCUCUCUCAAAAUAAACUUUAAAAAAAAAAAAAAAAACAAAAACACAAACCCACACCACAGUGAGAUACCAGUUUACACAUACUAGGAUGGCUGUAACAUAAAGACAGGCAAUAAGUCUUCUCUGUUAUUGUCAUAUUGGUGAGGAUGUGGAGAGAUUUGAGCCUCAUGCAUUGCUGGUGGGAAUGUAAAAUGGCACAGCCACUUUGGAAAAGUGUUUGCACUUUUUUGUUUGAAGACCUUGUUGUCAGGUCUUCAAAAAGCUAAAUAUAGAGUCACUCUAUGACCCAGCUAUUCCACUUGUAGGCAUAUAGCUAAGAGAAUUGAGAACAUAUGUCCACACAAAAAUUUUUACGUGGAUGUAUUACUCAGGAUUCUCCAGAGAAGCAGAAGCAACGGGAGAUUUAUUAUAAGGAAUUGUCCCCCACAAUUAUGGAGGCUGAAAAGUCUCACAUUUUACCAUUUGUAGACUGGAGACCCAGGAACACCAGUGGUAUAAUCCAGUCCAAGUCUGAAGGCUUGAGAACCGGCAACACCAAGGGCAGAGGAAGAUUGAUGUCCCAGCUUAAGAAACGAGGCAGGAAGGACCAAAUUCUUCCUUCCUUGGCCUUUUUGUCUUAUUCAGAUUGUCAACGAAUUGGACGAUGCACACCCAGACUGGAGAGGGUGAACUGCUUUCUUGAGUCCACUGAUUCAAAUUCUAAUUUUAUCCCCAAACACUCUCACAGACAUACCCAGACAUAAUAUUUAGCUAAAUAUCUGGGCAUCUGGUGGUCCAGUCAAUCUGAUACAUAAAAUUAGAUAUCACAAUGGAGGUUCAUAGUGGCAUUAUGAAUAAUUGCCCAAAAAUAGAGAACCCGAAUGUCCAUAACAGAUGAAUAGAUAAAAUGUAUAUUCACACAGAGGAAUAUUAUUUAGCUAUAAAAAGAGGUGACGUACUGAUAUAUCUCCUCAAUAUGGAUGAAGCUUGAAAACAUGCUAAGUGGAGGAAGCCAGACACAAAAGGUCACAUAUUGCUUGAUUCCAUUUUUUUUGGAAUGUCCAGAAUAGGCAAAUCCACAGGAACAGAAACUAGAUUAGUGGUUACCAGGUCCUGGCGAAGGGAGAGUGUCUGCUAAUGGGUGCAGGGUAUCUUUUUGGAACGGUGAAUAUUAGAUUGUUAUGAUGGUUGCACAACCCUGGGGAUAUAUUAGCAUCACUGAAUUAUACACUUUUUUUUUUAAGUUUACUUUUGAGAAAGAGAGUGCAAGUAGAGGAGGGGCAGAGAGAGAGGGAAAGAGAGAAUCCCAAGCAGGCUCUGUGAAGUCAGGGCAGGAUCCCAUGAUCCGUGAGACCAUAACCUGAGCCGAAGUCAAGAGGUGGCUGGUUAACCAGCUGAGCCACGCAGGCACCCCGCUGAAUUGUAUACUUCAAAGCAAUUUUGUGGUAUGUGUAUUACAUUAAAAAGUGAAUGUUAUCCUAAGGUUGUUUGGGAGUCCUUGAAGGAUUUUAAACAGGGUGGUGGACACAGUUGGAUCUGUGUUUUUGGAAAAUUAGUCUGGCUGUGGCGAAAGUGGUUUAAAAGGGACAAGACCAGAGGCAGGGAGCACAUCAAGAGGCUGUUUGAGUA